UUUUGUUAUUUAUCCAAUUUUAUUUUUGAAGUUUUGGAAUAAAAACAAAGACUCCAGCUAGUAGGAGUACUAUCGCUGCAUCUACGGGUGGUAUGGGUCAAGUAAAACUCACAUACUCAAAUGAACUUUUGAUGAAGUAUUUGAUGCCUGAAGCUAUUCUAAUAUGUAUUGCAAUAUAGGAGGAUGAAUUAGGUAUCAAUGAACAAAGGAAGAACAUCACGUGGACCGAGCAAAUGGAUGAAACAAUGAUUCGAUGCCUCCAAGUCCAAGUAUAGGAGGGGAAAAAUAUAGGAAAUCCUUUCAAAGAGACGGCUUAAAAUUUUGUUGCUAAAGAGGUGAAUUCAAAGCACCCACAACACCAUAAGGAAGAAACAAAAGACAAUGUCAAUCGUUUUAGGAAAAUUAAGUAGACCUUUAGAAAUCUUCUUCUUUGUCUAGAGCAAAGUGGGUUUAGUUUUGAUCACACAGAGAAGAAGCUGAAGGUAGAAGACCAAAUAUGUUAUUCAUUUGUUGUUAAAGUAUAUGUUUUAAUGAUUAAUUGCACAAGUAUUUAAUUGAUUUUGUGGUUCACAGAUAUUAUUAUCAUAUAUUAAUAUUUGAUUUUCCUUUCUUUUGAUUCGGAAAGGAAAAGAAUUCAUGAAGUUGAGAAACAUGACUUGGCCCCUGUUGAAGAACUUAAAGAAGUUGUGGGUGAAGAUCAUGCCACAGGGGAAUUUUCUCAAUCAAACAGAGAUUCUUUCCGUCAGAGAAUAGAUAAGGGAACAACUUCUGAAGAACCUAGGCCAUACAUCCAUCUAGUUGACCAUAUGGGGAUAGGUGAGACCGAUGGCAGUGAAGAUUUAAACACCCAAGUGCCAAUGUCCACAUCGCAUUCUGGAGAGGGGAGUGGAGCUAGUGCAUCACAUGUUGUACCUCGAGAGAGAGAGGGAAGGUAGCAUUGAAUGGCCAAAUAUCUACUGUUGCUGCCUCUAUAGAUCGUUUGGCGACUGUGAUCCAAGAGAGGCAUGUCUCUCCUAAAGCACUGUUGGAUGUUAUACUAGAAGUAGAUCGAUUUAGCAAAGAUACACUUGACAUCGUCUUUGAUUUCCCCGUAGUAAAUGAACCUCAAGCAAAGGCAUUUUUAGUUAGGAAUGUGGAGUAACGGAGGAGGUGGAUCUUGAGGUUUCUUGAUCAAGGCCAUUGAUGUGAGUUCAUCUAUGAGGGAUAUCAACUGAAGGAAAUGACAAGGGAUUCGUAAAAGAGCAACCAAAUUUAUAUAAUGUUAUGCUUGAAGAUGAUACUUACAAGGGAGAGAUCGAAAUUGGCUUUAAAUUCACAGCAAAUAUAGAAGUGCAUAAGGAAACAAGAGUAUGUACUAAGCUGGACAAGCAAAAACCAGAGUCAUUAUAUGGAACACUUCAGUUUUUGGA